rnacentral:rRNA from 1 species
CAGCCGCCACGGGAAUACGUAGGGUGCGAGCGUUGUCCGGAAUUACUGGGCGUAAAGAGCUCGUAGGCGGUUUGUCACGUCGUCUGUGAAAUCCUAGGGCUUAACCCUGGACGUGCAGGCGAUACGGGCUGACUUGAGUACUACAGGGGAGACUGGAAUUUCUGGUGUAGCGGUGGAAUGCACAGAUAUCAGGAAGAACACCGAUGGCGAAGGCAGGUCUCUGGGUAGUAACUGACGCUGAGGAGCGAAAGCAUGGGUAGCGAACGGGAUUAGAUACCCGGGUAGUCCCUGUCUCUUAUAA